rnacentral:lncRNA from 1 species
UAUUUUAUUUGCGAGAGAUACAAUAAUUAUCCUUCAAAAUGAAUGCAUGAUUUCCCCGGAAUCGUUCCAAACCAAUAAAUAUCAUUCAUAACAUGUAAAGGGUCGCCGACAAUAAAUCUAUUACUUAUUGUGAUACUAUAAUCGAUGUAAAGUGUAUACACUCAACCACCUUACAAGAUACAAAUAAUUUCUCACAUAAAUAUAUGUUGCUCAAUCUCCAAUGAAGAAAAGGUAAGUUCCACAAGCUACCUACAGAUGAAUAAAACUUCUUUUGCUGCAAUAAAAAGAGUAGAUCAGAUGCAAGGAGAAUCAUAUAAGCUAGACUAGGAGAUGCAUGGGAGAAUAAGAAAAUAAAUACUAUCAACUUCAAAUACAAUAUGGUAAGAGGAGACUUUGAUAAAGAGAUGUUUGUUUCUCUAUAUAGCUGCCACCGUAUCAAGCCGUGGGGACGAUCAUUUCUUGGCUACGGGUUCCCUUGGCCCUUCAUAUUUUGGUCCUAGAUUUAGCCAGUGCGUGCUCUAGAUCACUAUUGAGAAACAAUCAGAUACACUCAAGGUUAGUGCAUCCAUCUUUAUGCUGCAGCCCCAAAGACAAACAUCCUUUUGGGUGCAGGUUCUACUGAAGGAGCUGCUUAUGGUUGAUGUUGGCCUCUUGUGAUAUCUCUCGACGUCUUUCACUGCCACUGUCAAUUGUGGUGGACCAAGCCUUAGUCGUGUGCCUCAGGACAACACGAAACCAUCAAAAGGCCCCAAACACGCCAAUGCUAAUUGUGUGACACCUGAAUANNNNNNNNNNCCUGCAGCCCCAAAGACAAACAUCCUUUUGGGUGCAGGUUCUGCUGAAGGAGCUGCUUAUGGUCGAUGUUGGCCUCUUGUGCUAUCUCUCGACGUCUUUCACUGCCACUGUCAAUUGUGGUGGACCAAGCCUUAGUUGUGUGCCUCACGAACUCAAAUUUACCCUCACCGACACGAAACUAUCAAAAGGCCCCAAACACGCCAAUGCUAAUUGUGUGACACCUGAAUAGUAUGGCCUUGGACUUUUUGCCAACCUCUUUGUUAGACUUGAUUAAAUGUAGCUUGCUAGGUAUGCCCAAUUCAUGUAUGUCUUCUUCCUGAAAAUAUGAUAUCAAGUAUUUGUCGUUUGCAUAUGCUUGUCGUGAUGUCCUCUAAUGUUGUGAUAAUGGGUCUCCAAGUGAAUUCAAAACCAACGAGAGGUUCUUUUGUAGUUUAGAAUAGGCCCACUCUAACAUUCCACGGUUGUGCUUUUAUCACUUCUUUUGUAGUCAUCGCCCCACAUUUUUUAAAUGCCUACCUUUUUCCCAUGAUGGUGGGACCAAAUCCAACAUUUUUAGUACAUUCUCUAUGUUGUGCUUGUGUUCAACACUUUAUGUGGUUGAAGACAUCAAUGAUUCAUUGUUCUUUGGAAGAGAAUCCACUUAUCCUCCUACCCUCACUGAUGUUAAUUUAGCAGUAAAAAUAAUAAGAAUGCUAUUUUAAGUGCUUUACAUGAUGAGUCAUCUAGUGGCAUCGUUAUUAAUUCAAUAUUGAGAGAGAGAGAGAGAGAGAGAGAGGGAGGGAGGGAGAGAGAGGGAGAUAGAUAGAUAGAUAGAUAGAUAGAGAGAGAGAGAGUUAUGCUCAAGACACAACCCUAUGAUUUGAAGUGAACAUGAAUC